CUUCAGUGAUGACACGAUGACGAGUCAGAAAGGUCACAUCCUGCUCUUGGUCCUUGCUAGUGCCAUGGUCUGUGGUGCUGUGCAUGGAUUCCUUUUGCAGAAGUGUCCUGUUCGUUGAUUGAUUUAGAGGCAUUUGUCUGAGAAGG